rnacentral:rRNA from 1 species
UACAGAGGGUGCAAGCGUUGUUCGGAAUUAUUGGGCGUAAAGCGCGUGUAGGCGGCCUGGCAAGUUGGGUGUGAAAGCCCUCGGCUUAACCGAGGAAGUGCGCCCAAAACUACGAGGCUUGAGUACCGGAGAGGGUGGCGGAAUUCCCGGUGUAGAGGUGAAAUUCGUAGAUAUCGAGAGGAAUACCUGUGGCGAAGGCGGCCAACUGGACGAGUACUGACACUGAGACACGAAAGCGUGGGGAGCAAACAGG